ACCUGAAAUUCCCAGGAUUAAAGCAGCUUCCUUGCAGAGCUCAUGCCAGGUGUGUCUUCAACUGCCUUCUUGGCUCCAUCCACCCCACCCCCCUGCCCAUGUCACUGUUUUAAUACAGAUCUUUGAGCAGUAUUUUGGUGAGGCUUGAAUUAAAUAAGAAAAGAAAUAGGCGUUUUACAAGAUUUUUUUUAACCUCCAGGACUUCCAUGUCUAACAGGCUCUGAAGAGAGGCUGUGAGCUGCUCUGCUCUGGCUGCCCCAGGUAAGCAGGGCCCUCUGACAAUAACAUGGGCUUGGGGAGGGAGGAGGUUGUCUAAAUUUUUACAUCCUGAGAUUGCUGGCAUCUGCAUUCCUGGAAUGCAAGGCCACACAGGGUGGAUGGAGAGUCAUGGAACCAAAGAGAGCUGUCUCCAGAGAAGAUUCUCAAUGACCCGGCACUCACUUAACUGUGAAAAAGAUUUUUGUGGGGGCAAAGAGAAGACACUGAAGAACACCAUCUAAGAGACUAUUUUGAACAAUAUGGGAUAAUUGAAGUUAUUGAAAUCAUGACUGACUGGGACAGUGGCAAAAGGAGAGGCUUUGCUUUUGUAACCUUUGAUGACCAUGAUUCUGUCGACAAGCCUGUCAUUCAGAAAUACCGUACUGUGAAUGGCCACAACUGUGUGUGGAAACUCUUAUCACAGCAAGAGAUGGCUAGAGCCUCAUCCAGCCAAAGAGGAUGAAGUGGGUCUGGAAACUUUGGUGGUGGCUUUGGUGGCAGUGACAACUUUGGCCAAGGAGGAGACUUUAGUGGUCAAGGUGGCUUUGUAGGCAGCUGAGGUGGUGGCCAAUGUGGUGGCAGUGGGGAUGGCUACAAUGAAUUUGGCAAUGAUGGAAGUAAUUUUGGAGGUGGCAGAAACUAUCUUUUUUUUUUUUUUUGGCAAUCACAGUAACCAGUCCUCAAAUUUUGGCCCUAUGAAAGGUGGAAACUUUGGAGGCCAAAGCUCUGGCCCCUAUGAUGGUGGUAGCCAGUAUUUUGCCAAACCACAAGACCAAGGUGGAUAUGGUGCCUGCAAGAGCAGCUGUAGCUAUGGCAGCAGCAGAAGGUUUUAAUCUCCAGGAAACAAAGCUUAGCAGGAGAGCAGAGCCAGAGAGGUGACAGGGAAGCAACAGGUCACAACAUAUUUGUGAACUCAGCCAAGCACAGUGGUGGCAGGGCCUAGCUGCUACAAAGAAGACUUGUGUUGGACAAUACUCUUGUGUAUGGGGAAAAAAACUUUGAAGGACUGUAUCUGUGACUAACUGUAUAACAGGUUAUUUUAGUUUCUGUUCUGUGGGAAGUGUAAAGCAUUCCAAUGAAGGGUUUUAAUGUAGUUUUUUUUUUCACCCAUGCUGUUGAUUGCUAAAUGUAAUAGUCUGAUCAUGAUGCUGAAUACAUGUGUCUUAAAAAAAAAAAAAACACUGUGCUACUGAAUAUAAAUAAAUAUGAACACUGGACACAGAGCUGGCUCACACAGGAGAGCAUUUUCCUUACUGCAUAUGAGAUUUCAGGUCUGAGCACCCCACAGGAGCACCACAGGAAGUGUAAGUUCCACUUGGGGUGGAGCACCGUGGUGGAAUCCCUCCUCUCUCAACCUCACAGAAACAAAACAAUGAAAAAGCCAACACAUGUGUCCUGGGAUCAGGUAAGGUCCAAUUUUCUGGAGAUCCCUCCCCUGAAACUUUAAAAAAAUGUAUUCGUAAAAAAAACAUAGGAAAAACAACUCCACACAAUUCCUAUCCCCAGAACUCUGUAUCCUAUCCCUUCCCUUGACAACUUCC